rnacentral:rRNA from 1 species
UGGGGAAUAUUGGGCAAUGGGCGCAAGCCUGACCCAGCAACGCCGCGUGAAGGAAGAAGGCUUUCGGGUUGUAAACUUCUUUGUCAGGGACGAGAAGAAGACGGUACCUGACGAAUAAGCCACGGCUAACUACGUGCCAGCAGCCGCGGUAAUACGUAGGUGGCAAGCGUUGUCCGGAUUUACUGGGUGUAAAGGGCGUGUAGCCGGGUCGGCAAGUCAGAUGUGAAAUCCACGGGCUUAACUCGUGAACUGCAUUUGAAACUGUUGAUCUUGAGUAUCGGAGAGGCAAUCGGAAUUCCUAGUGUAGCGGUGAAAUGCGUAGAUAUUA